rnacentral:rRNA from 1 species
AGUGAACGCUGGCGGUAGGCCUAACACAUGCAAGUCGAACGGCAGCACAGUAAGAGCUUGCUCUUACGGGUGGCGAGUGGCGGACGGGUGAGGAAUACAUCGGAAUCUACUUUUUCGUGGGGGAUAACGUAGGGAAACUUACGCUAAUACCGCAUACGACCUACGGGUGAAAGCAGGGGAUCUUCGGACCUUGCGCGAUUGAAUGAGCCGAUGUCGGAUUAGCUAGUUGGCGGGGUAAAGGCCCACCAAGGCGACGAUCCGUAGCUGGUCUGAGAGGAUGAUCAGCCACACUGGAACUGAGACACGGUCCAGACUCCUACGGGAGGCAGCAGUGGGGAAUAUUGGACAAUGGGCGAAAGCCUGCUCCAGCCAUACCGCGUGGGUGAAGAAGGCCUUCGGGUUGUAAAGCCCUUUUGUUGGGAGAGAAAAGCAGCAGGUUAAUACCCCGCUGUUCUGACGGUACCCAAAGAAUAAGCACCGGCUAACUUCGU